AGGAGAUUAACAUCAAGGAGCCCACAUUUGCAAUAGCGGGUGGUGCUGGGGGGAGAGGCGAGGGGAAAAUAAAAUAAAAGCAACAAUCGGGUAAAUGCUCCUCUCUUCUCGCCACCAGCACCUUGCACAGUGAACUGGAAGAUGGAGAUGGAUGUUAAGGGAGUUUCUCCGUGCCCGGAGCCCAUCCCCCCGGCGGCGGGGUCUGGCGGCUGCCCGCACCAGCGCCCGCACCACCGCGAUGGGCAGCCCGCGGAGCCGGCCCCCGCCGCCGACAGCGGCCACCCGGAGCGGAGGCACGGCACUGAGAAAGAGGACAAAAAGGCAUCUACACAGAAGCAUUCUGGAUUUCAUUUGGCAUGGUGCUUGUGACUGAUUACAAAAUCUGCUGCUGAAGCAACUUUAGAAGUGGUGGAAGACCUAUGGUUGUGGAUCCUUUGCACAUAUAAAUGUUAUUGUGUGUGUCUGUUUGACCAUGGUAGGAUAUUUAAUGUAUCAUAGAAACAAGUUUUGUAUCUCCAUUUCAGUGUCCUUCUCAUCAUAGAACCUUCCUUUCAAACAUAUUUUCCUUUGUUUGAGUCUUUAAAAUACCUUGAAAACCCGAAACCUUGAAAAAUUGUAACACUCUAUGAGAAAUAUACACUAUUGUCAUCUUCUGGGGAAAAGGGGAACUUUACUGUGUCCGCUGUUUUUGUAAGUGAAAUGUGGUGUACAGCAUGCUAAGUAACUGCUCAGUCAAAUGUCAGUGUAAAUUCAGAAAUCCUCAGAAGAGGAAAGAAAUAAAUAUUUUUAUUUUCUCUAAAAGCUUCCCUGU
rnacentral:lncRNA from 1 species